AACGAACGCUGGCGGCAGGCUUAACACAUGCAAGUCGAACGCUCCGCAAGGAGAGUGGCAGACGGGUGAGUAACGCGUGGGAAUCUACCCAUCUCUACGGAACAACUCCGGGAAACUGGAGCUAAUACCGUAUACGUCCUUCGGGAGAAAGAUUUAUCGGGGAUGGAUGAGCCCGCGUUGGAUUAGCUAGUUGGUGGGGUAAAGGCCUACCAAGGCGACGAUCCAUAGCUGGUCUGAGAGGAUGAUCAGCCACAUUGGGACUGAGACACGGCCCAAACUCCUACGGGAGGCAGCAGUGGGGAAUAUUGGACAAUGGGCGCAAGCCUGAUCCAGCCAUGCCGCGUGAGUGAUGAAGGCCCUAGGGUUGUAAAGCUCUUUCACCGAUGAAGAUAAUGACGGUAGUCGGAGAAGAAGCCCCGGCUAACUUCGUGCCAGCCGCCGCCGUAACAC
rnacentral:rRNA from 1 species